rnacentral:rRNA from 1 species
UACGUAGGGUGCAAGCGUUAAUCGGAAUGACUGGGCGUAAAGGGUGUGCAGGCGGUCUGCUAAGUCAGAUGUGAAAGCCCCGGGCUUAACCUGGGAACUGCGUUUGAAACUGGGAGACUUGAGUGUGGCAGAGGGGGGUGGAAUUCCACGUGUAGCAGUGAAAUGCGUAGAUAUGUGGAGGAACACCGAUGGCGAAGGCAGCCCCCUGGGUUAACACUGACGCUCAUGCACGAAAGCGUGGGGAGCAAACAGG